CGGCGAGUAGCGCAGCUUGGUAGCGCAACUGGUUUGGGACCAGUGGGGCGGAGGUUCGAAUCCUCUCUCGCCGACCA
rnacentral:tRNA from 5 species